rnacentral:lncRNA from 1 species
ACACUGCGCUGAGCACACAGAAGGUUCACCACCGGGGAUGCUGCCACAGUCUCAGGAGUAAUUUGCAUCAAUUCGAUAAACGUCUAUCUGGAAACAUCCAAGAGUCAGCCAGGAUGCUGGAGGAAGGUCCGAGAUCCAGGGAAUAACUUUGAGUGAUUGUAACGGGAGAGAAGAGGGACUCCUGGAGGUGCACAUGAGGUUAGUUCUGAAUGGGCUAACAAGUAAAAUAAGAAACAAUUUUGCACAAUACCUUGAAUGCCAUUGUGUGUUCAUGGUGAUCCAAUACUAAGACUUUCCUAUUGGUAACAGCCUGCAUUUAUAUACCUUCCGAGAUGGUAAGGGUGUCCCUAAAGAGUUGCUUGUGGAUGUUCUAAAUAAGUUUUAAGGUACCAUGAAGUGUCUGGGGCAUUUCUGGCCAACAACACAAGAGAAGGGGUAAUGGUCUAGGCAAUGGCA